rnacentral:rRNA from 1 species
GCCCAGACUCCUACGGGAGGCAGCAGUGGGGAAUAUUGCACAAUGGGGGAAACCCUGAUGCAGCGACGCCGCGUGAGCGAUGAAGUAUUUCGGUAUGUAAAGCUCUAUCAGCAGGGAAGAAAAUGACGGUACCUGACUAAGAAGCCCCGGCUAACUACGUGCCAGCAGCCGCGGUAAUACGUAGGGGGCAAGCGUUAUCCGGAUUUACUGGGUGUAAAGGGGGCGCAGACGGCGAUGCAAGCCAGGAGUGAAAGCCCGGGGCCCAACCCCGGGACUGCUCUUGGAACUGCGUGGCUGGAGUGCAGGAGGGGCAGGCGGAAUUCCUGGUGUAGCGGUGAAAUGCGUAGAUAUCAGGAGGAACACCGGCGGCGAAGGCGGCCUGCUGGACCGUGACUGACGUUGAGGCUCGAGAGCGUGGGGAGCAAACAGGAUUAGAUACCCUGGUAA